UGGUACCUAACACUACAGGGAGAUAACUCUGUAAAAUCAGAUAAACGUUUUAAUUACGUUGUGUUGUUAAGGGAAUAUUAAGCUUCUCAGUGAUCAAAAUAAGUGUUUGUCAAACUGCUAUAUAACCAGUGUAAUUUUUCUGAUAAAACGGUUGGUUCAAAUUUUUUGAAAUUUUUAUAUUUUUGUAAAAGGGUCAAAGUAAAUACUUUGUCAAAAUUUUAAGAAAAUUAACCGAG
rnacentral:lncRNA from 1 species